rnacentral:rRNA from 1 species
GACGAACGCUGGCGGCGUGCUUAACACAUGCAAGUCGAACGGAAAGGCCCUGCUUUUUUGGGGUGCUCGAGUGGCGAACGGGUGAUUAACACGUGAGUAACCUGCCCUUGACUUUGGGAUAACUUCAGGAAACCGGGGCUAAUACCGGAUAGGAGCUCCUGCUGCAUGGUGGGGGUUGGAAAGUUUCGGCGGUUGGGGAUGGACUCGCGGCUUAUCAGCUUGUUGGUGGGGUAGUGGCUUACCAAGGCUUUGACGGGUAGCCGGCCUGAGAGGGUGACCGGCCACAUUGGGACUGAGAUACGGCCCAGACUCCUACGGGAGGCAGCAGUGGGGAAUAUUGCACAAUGGGCGGAAGCCUGAUGCAGCAACGCCGCGUGCGGGAUGACGGCCUUCGGGUUGUAAACCGCUUUCGCCUGUGACGAAGCGUGAGUGACGGUAAUGGGUAAAGAAGCACCGGCUAACUACGUG